rnacentral:rRNA from 1 species
GACGAACCGUGCGAACGUUGUUCGGAAUCACUGGGCUUAAAGGGCGCGUAGGCGGGUUCGAAAGUCUGUGGUGAAAGCCUCCAGCUUAACUGGAGAAGUGCCAUGGAUACUGCGAACCUGGAGGAGGGUAGGGGCAUCUGGAACGCUGGGUGGAGCGGUGAAAUGCGUUGAUAUCCAGCGGAACUCCGGUGGCGAAGGCGAGGUGCUGGACCCUUUCUGACGCUGAGGCGCGAAAGCCAGGGGGGCAAACGGG